UGGGGAAUAUUGGACAAUGGGCGCAAGCCUGAUCCAGCCAUGCCGCGUGAGUGAUGAAGGCCCUAGGGUUGUAAAGCUCUUUCACCGGUGAAGAUAAUGACGGUAACCGGAGAAGAAGCCCCGGCUAACUUCGUGCCAGCAGCCGCGGUAAUACGAAGGGGGCUAGCGUUGUUCGGAUUUACUGGGCGUAAAGCGCACGUAGGCGGACUAUUAAGUCAGGGGUGAAAUCCCGGAGCUCAACCCCGGAACUGCCUUUGAUACUGGUAGUCUUGAGUUCGAGAGAGGUGAGUGGAAUUCCGAGUGUAGAGGUGAAAUUCGUAGAUAUUCGGAGGAACACCAGUGGCGAAGGCGGCUCACUGGCUCGAUACUGACGCUGAGGUGCGAAAGCGUGGGGAGCAAACAGG
rnacentral:rRNA from 1 species